rnacentral:rRNA from 1 species
UUAAGCGACUAAGCGUACACGGUGGAUGCCCUGGCAGUCAGAGGCGAUGAAGGACGUGCUAAUCUGCGAAAAGCGUCGGUAAGGUGAUAUGAACCGUUACAGCCGGCGAUGUCCGAAUGGGGAAACCCAGUGCAAUUCGUUGCACUAUCGUUAACUGAAUACAUAGGUUAACGAGGCGAACCGGGGGAACUGAAACAUCUAAGUACCCCGAGGAAAAGAAAUCAACCGAGAUUCCCCCAGUAGCGGCGAGCGAACGGGGAGCAGCCCGGAGUCUGAAUCAGCUUGUGUGUUAGUGGAAGCGUCUGGAAAGUCGCAGGGUACAGGGUGAUACUCCCGUACACUAAAACACACAGGUUGUGAACUCGAAGAGUAGGGCGGGACACGUGGUAUCCUGUCUGAAUAUGGGGGGACCAUCCUCCAAGGCUAAAUACUCCUGACUGACCGAUAGUGAACCAGUACCGUGAGGGAAAGGCGAAAAGAACCCCGGCGAGGGGAGUGAAAAAGAACCUGAAACCGUGUACGUACAAGCAGUAGGAGCCCACUAGUUGGGUGACUGCGUACCUUUUGUAUAAUGGGUCAGCGACUUAUAUUCUGUAGCAAGGUUAACCGAAUAGGGGAGCCGCAGGGAAACCGAGUCUUAACUGGGCGUUAAGUUGCAGGGUAUAGACCCGAAACCCGGUGAUCUAGCCAUGGGCAGGUUGAAGGUUGGGUAACACUAACUGGAGGACCGAACCGACUAAUGUUGAAAAAUUAGCGGAUGACUUGUGGCUGGGGGUGAAAGGCCAAUCAAACCGGGAGAUAGCUGGUUCUCCCCGAAAGCUAUUUAGGUAGCGCCUCGUGAAUUCAUCUUCGGGGGUAGAGCACUGUUUCGGCUAGGGGGUCAUCCCGACUUACCAACCCGAUGCAAACUACGAAUACCGAAGAAUGUUAUCACGGGAGACACACGGCGGGUGCUAACGUCCGUCGUGAAGAGGGAAACAACCCAGACCGCCAGCUAAGGUCCCAAAGUCAUGGUUAAGUGGGAAACGAUGUGGGAAGGCCCAGACAGCCAGGAUGUUGGCUUAGAAGCAGCCAUCAUUUAAAGAAAGCGUAAUAGCUCACUGGUCGAGUCGGCCUGCGCGGAAGAUGUAACGGGGCUAAACCAUGCACCGAAGCUGCGGCAGCGACGCUUAUGCGUUGUUGGGUAGGGGAGCGUUCUGUAAGCCGUUGAAGGUGGCCUGUGAGGGUUGCUGGAGGUAUCAGAAGUGCGAAUGCUGACAUAAGUAACGAUAAUGCGGGUGAAAAACCCGCACGCCGGAAGACCAAGGGUUCCUGUCCAACGUUAAUCGGGGCAGGGUGAGUCGACCCCUAAGGCGAGGCCGAAAGGCGUAGUCGAUGGGAAACAGGUUAAUAUUCCUGUACUUGGUGUUACUGCGAAGGGGGGACGGAGAAGGCUAUGUUGGCCGGGCGACGGUUGUCCCGGUUUAAGCAUGUAGGCGGAUGUUCCAGGUAAAUCCGGAACGUUACUAACGCUGAGGUGUGAUGACGAGGCACUACGGUGCUGAAGUGACAAAUGCCCUGCUUCCAGGAAAAGCCUCUAAGCAUCAGGUAACAUCAAAUCGUACCCCAAACCGACACAGGUGGUCAGGUAGAGAAUACCAAGGCGCUUGAGAGAACUCGGGUGAAGGAACUAGGCAAAAUGGUGCCGUAACUUCGGGAGAAGGCACGCUGAUGGUAGGUGAAGUGACUUGCUCAUGGAGCUGAAAUCAGUCGAAGAUACCAGCUGGCUGCAACUGUUUAUUAAAAACACAGCACUGUGCAAACACGAAAGUGGACGUAUACGGUGUGACGCCUGCCCGGUGCCGGAAGGUUAAUUGAUGGGGUUAUCCUCGCGGAGAAGCUCUUGAUCGAAGCCCCGGUAAACGGCGGCCGUAACUAUAACGGUCCUAAGGUAGCGAAAUUCCUUGUCGGGUAAGUUCCGACCUGCACGAAUGGCGUAAUGAUGGCCAGGCUGUCUCCACCCGAGACUCAGUGAAAUUGAACUCGCUGUGAAGAUGCAGUGUACCCGCGGCAAGACGGAAAGACCCCGUGAACCUUUACUAUAGCUUGACACUGAACACUGGUCCUUGAUGUGUAGGAUAGGUGGGAGGCUUUGAAGUGUGGACGCCAGUCUGCAUGGAGCCGUCCUUGAAAUACCACCCUUUAAUGGCUGGUGUUCUAACGUUGGCCCGUGAUCGGGGUUGCGGACAGUGUCUGGUGGGUAGUUUGACUGGGGCGGUCUCCUCCUAAAGAGUAACGGAGGAGCACGAAGGUCAGCUAAUCCUGGUCGGACAUCAGGAGGUUAGUGCAAUGGCAUAAGCUGGCUUGACUGCGAGCGUGACGGCGCGAGCAGGUGCGAAAGCAGGUCAUAGUGAUCCGGUGGUUCUGAAUGGAAGGGCCAUCGCUCAACGGAUAAAAGGUACUCCGGGGAUAACAGGCUGAUACCGCCCAAGAGUUCAUAUCGACGGCGGUGUUUGGCACCUCGAUGUCGGCUCAUCACAUCCUGGGGCUGAAGUAGGUCCCAAGGGUAUGGCUGUUCGCCAUUUAAAGUGGUACGCGAGCUGGGUUUAGAACGUCGUGAGACAGUUCGGUCCCUAUCUGCCGUGGGCGCUGGAGAAUUGAGGGGGGCUGCUCCUAGUACGAGAGGACCGGAGUGGACGCAUCACUGGUGUUCGGGUUGUCAUGCCAAUGGCAUUGCCCGGUAGCUAAAUGCGGAAGAGAUAAGUGCUGAAAGCAUCUAAGCACGAAACUUGCCCCGAGAUGAGUUCUCCCUGACUCUUUGAGGGUCCUGAAGGAACGUUGAAGACGACGACGUUGAUAGGCCGGGUGUGUAAGCGCAGCGAUGCGUUGAGCUAACCGGUACUAAUGAACCGUGAGGCUUAACCUU